GGUACAACGAGUCGCAAGACCGCGAGGUUUAGCAAAUCUCUUAAAGCCGUUCUCAGUUCGGAUUGUAGGCUGCAACUCGCCUACAUGAAGUCGGAAUCGCUAGUAAUCGCGGAUCAGCAUGCCGCGGUGAAUACGUUCCCGGGCCUUGUACACACCGCCCGUCACACCAUGAGAGUUUGUAACACCCAAAGCCGGUGGGGUAACCUUUUGGAGCCAGCCGUCUAAGGUGGGACAGAUGAUUGGGGUGAAGUCGUAACAAGGUAGC
rnacentral:rRNA from 1 species